CAAGUGUAGUCUUUUGCCGUAGUAUAACUCUCCGCGACUCAGGUUGGCCUUCGUCUCCCUCUUUUCGUGGGUGUAGGGUGCGCAGCAGGUUGGCCUUCGUCUCCGUUCGGGUUUUCUCCUCUCCCAACACAAAACAAAGUUGCAGACCCAUUAUUCCUCGCAAACCAAUCUCAAUUCCUCUCACUUUGAAUCUUCUUCUUCUCUGCUUCAGGUUCGUUCUCUUCCUGAAUAUUCUCCGAUUCGUUUUCUGUUUCCGGCUUCAGGUUCGUUCUCUCUCUCUCUCUGAGAUUCGUUUUUCAUUGAUUUAAAGCUUUGUUUCAUUCAAGGUUUGAUCUAAUUUUCGAUUAAAGCUCUGGGUUGUUGGCGUUCAUGUUUCUGACCCAGUUUUGUUUUCCUAUGUUUCUCCAAUGUCUAGAAGUAGUUUAUGGUUUUCUGAAUUUGACAGUGAGUUCCUAGGUUAACCAAUAACUAGAGGAUUCACUAUAUAGUUGCAUUUACAUUAUUAGUUUAUGUAAUCAAUGACCAUGAUGCUACCAAAUCUGAGGCAGAAGGCCAGACCCAUAAAAUGCAUUCACACUAUCAGAUUAUAUAAUCAUUCACUCUGUUAAAUAAAACAAAGCACUUGUAAGCCAGCUCUUGUUCGUAAUUUUAACUUAACAUUUACAUGGUACCUUGGCAUUGUUCUUUCCAAUUUAUGUCCUUCUGAUUCUUUCUGUAUUUGCUUUAAUACAGUCAUUUUUCAAAUAGGAAUCUGGCUUUAUGUCAUUUUUCAUAUAGGAAUAUGACUUUCAACGAGGACCUGAAGGGACAACUUCAAGCAUCAAUUGGAAACUUGAACAAACUAAAAACCGUGUAAAAGAAAAUCUGUGAUUUUUUUUUUUGAAGAAUUGCGCCUCUGUUCUUUAAUCAAAUGGUGCCUUUUUUUCUUUUUCUUUUUCUUUUUUUCUAGAAUAUUUUUCAUCCUAAAUCUGGUAUUCAUAUAUUAAAGCUUUAAAACUUAGGAUUCUAGUCUCUUAGAUUGAGAUUAGGUUAGACCGAGGUUCAACUACUUUCCAAUGUACAAAAAGAAAAAUUUUAAAUUUUGGACUCUCGAAGCACACUGUUGCCGCGGGGCAUUAUUCAACAAAUUUCAUUGAAGAGCAAGCUUGUGAUAUAUGAAUUGUAGUCUGACAACUAAGCUAGGAUCUUGUCUUCCUAGUAUAACUCUUGUCUCGUAAAGAAAAAAAAAUCAACAACUAUUAAUGCACCAAUUUGGUAUGAUGUAUAAGGCUACGUUCUCUAAAUUAAUUCAGAAGCACAAUAGCAUAUAGAAAUAUGAGAGAUUAACAUAAAAUGUACUUAUGAGGAAAUGUAACUUUUAGAACAUUUGAUGUGAUUGAUCUAUUUUCUUUAUCGCUUGGUGAGAUUAUAACAAAGUGUCCUUCUUACUUACACUAUUUAUUCGAUUUCUUGCUCAAUUGUAGUUAAUCUCCAUUAGAUCUAAAUCAAAUAGUGAAGGAUAAAAAUCUAGCUGUGCUUACUUGCUCGUUUGCCCCUCCUUGUGGUUAAAGAUUAUGACUUUGCACUUUCAUGAUAUGAGCAUGUCAUGUUUUAAAAUAUAAUGUACAGGUAACUGAAGUAAAUAAUAAACAAAAUUUGGAAUUGUCAGAAUGAAAUUCCUUAUUUUUGCUAGUUCCUCUUGUAGUGGACUAGUUGAGACUCGUGCUAUUGCCAGUGUGUGCAUGCCCUCCGUGAUGAGUGGACUGCCCUUGAUCUGGAGGUAGACCACUACUAGAGGAAUUUCAAAUUGUCACAUAAACAUUAAGCAACAACCCGUUGAGCUCGUCGCCUAAUUGGCCUUUUGCGAGAAAAUUAAAGUUGUCAAAUUAACAUUAACCAACAACUGGUAGAAGUUGUCGCCUAAUUUAUUUUCAGUGAGGAAGUUCAGGUUGUCACAUAGUCAUCAAGCGACAACCUGUAAAAGUCGUCGCUUAAUUGGUCUUUUACGAGGAAAUUGAAGUUGUCACAUAAACAUUAACCGACAACUAGUAGAAGUCGUUGCUUAAUUAGUUUUCAGUGAGGAAAUUGAAAUUGUCACAUAAACAUUAAACGACAACUCGAUAAAGUUGUCGCCAAAUUGAUUUUCAGUGAGGAAAUUCAAAUUGUCACAUAAACAUAAAGCGACAACCCGAUAAAGUUGUCGCCAAAUUGAUUUUCAACGAGGAAAUUCAAAUUGUCACAUAAACAUAAAGCGACAACCCGAUAAAGUUGUCGCCAAAUUGAUUUUCAACAAGGAAAUUCAAAUUGUCACAUAAACAUAAAGCGACAACCCGAUAAAAUUGUCGCCAAAUUGAUUUUCAGCGAGGAAAUUCAAAUUGUCACAUAAACAUUAAGCGACAACUCAAUAAAGUUGUCGCCAAAUUGAUUUUCAGCGAGAAAGGUAAGGUUGUCACAUAAUUAUUAACUGACAACUCACAUAAGAGGUCGCUAAAUCAGUCUUUAGUGACAAAAAUCUAGUUGUCACAUAAACAUUAAGCAACAAUUUACAGAAGUCGUCGCCUAAUUAAUCUUUUGCGAGGAAGUUAAAGUUGUCACAGAAACAUUAACCGACAAUUUGGUAGAAAUUGUCGCCUAAUUAACAUUUUACGAGGAAUUGGGUGUCGCAUAAUGUCAUAUGGGCGACAACUGUCAAUUUCUUGCAAAUUCCUACUUUAUGCGACAAAUUGGUUGUCACCGAUGGGAUCAUGUGCGACAACUGAAAUUCCCUCGUAUUUGCCAAGUUUUUGCGACGAUUUUUGGGUCGUCACAAUGAAAUUCCUCGCUUUUGCUAUUUUCUCUUGUAGUGAAUUUCCUACACAAACUCAGAUAAGUUUCUUGUUUUGAGGAAGAAGUUUAAUUCUACAAGAUGAUGAAGAUUGUUGCUGAAAUUUACUGUAAUUGUUAGCUUCGAAGCUUUGAUUUUACAUACUCGGUGUUCGAUUGUGGUUUUCUACAAGUAAUUGAGGUUGAUUCUUGAAGUUUUGUUAUAGUUAUUUCGUCAAACACUUGGUGUGUGUUGUUGCUCUUCGCUCAGCUCGACUAUUUCUCUUUUGAUUUUGUUCGUCGAGUGUAAGAGUAAUAUUAGAUUCUAUGUGAUUGUUUAUCCUCCUAACAAAUUUUGUUGCAUACCAGAAUCCUGGAUGGUUGCAGAUUCUCUGGUCCUGUUUCAGCUACAAUAGGAUCUUUAAAGCAACUUUCUUAUCUAUCUCUGAAAAACAAUAGAUUUAGUGGUCCAAUUCCACCUUCCAUUGGCAAUCUAGCCAAUCUUGUCUUUCUGGACCUAUCGGACAACAUGCUUGGGGAUUCCAUUCCACUCUCUAAUGGGACUGCACCUGGUCUUGAUAUGUUAAAUAAAACAAAGCACUUUCAUUUUUCAAAUAACCAGCUCUCGGGCAGCAUUCCAUCUCAACUGUUCAACUCAAAUAUGCCUCUGAUACAUUUUCAUUCAGUCGUGCUCCCAAAGUACCAAUAAGGUGUUACAUGCUUUGCAACAGAAGUUCCCAGCCGCGUCAAAGACUCAGUUAAGGAAUAAAGUGCGAGAUAUAUCAGAUUUUGUGGAUACCCAUUGGCAGAUCUGCUGGAAUAACGUGAUAACAGAGCACAGCGAAGCCAUUUUGAACUCUUUGUACUCAUUUUACUGGAACGUGACAAGAAAUUGGGAGUUGAGGUAUGUCAAUCUUUUUCAUUACAUAUAAAAUUCAUAUCAAAUAAUUAUUGAACUUUGUUGAUGAGGAAUUACUAUAAGGAGAUGAAGAUAACACUCGAGAAAGUGAUGGAUACAGUGACUUGGAUUAAGUUGGAUCGAUAUGUGGCUAGGAGCAUGAAGGUUAAUAUAUUAUGUGGUAGGCUUCUACCUUGAUCCCCUUAUAGUUAAGGUAUACUGAUCAGACACAUGUUCAAGGAUAGUCCAUAUGCCUCUGGUUCUCCAUCAAAAGCCGUCUGCAUUAUUGUUCUUAAUUAGUUACAGAUAUUUUUUAUAGUUGAAGACUUGUGAAGCAAAUUAUGAAAGUGCUCAAUUUGUUCAUGUUUGUU